GCCUGUUUGGCUCAGUGGAUAGAGCGUCAGCCUGAGGACUGAAGGGUUCCGGCUCAAUUCUGGACAAGGGCA
rnacentral:tRNA from 1 species